rnacentral:rRNA from 1 species
CGACCUCAGGUCAGGCGGGGCCACC